AGCUGCAGAAGAAGCACCGGCUAACUCCGUGCCAGCAGCCGCGGUAAUACGGAGGGUGCGAGCGUUAAUCGGAAUUACUGGGCGUAAAGCGCAUGCAGGUGGUUUGUUAAGUUCAGAUGUGAAAGACCCGGGGCGUCAACCUCCGGAAAUUGCAUUUGAAACUAGGCAGACUAGAGUACUGUAGAGGGGGGUAGGAAUUUCAGGUGUAGCGGUGAAAUGCGUAGAGAUCUGAAGGAAUACCGGUGGCGAAGGCGGCCCCCUCGGACAGAUACUGACACUCAGAUGCGAAAGCGUGGGGAGCAAACAGGAUUAGAUACCCUGGUAG
rnacentral:rRNA from 1 species